rnacentral:tRNA from 1 species
GAUGGCAUAGCCUGGUGGUAGAGUGUGUGCCUGUCAUACAUGAAUUCCUGGGUUCAAUCCCCAGUACCUCCA